rnacentral:misc_RNA from 1 species
GAAUCUGUUUCUUUCUAUGGUGUAAGUCUUCUCCCUACAAUCUUAUUUCUGUGUUUUUUAACAGCUAAGAAAAAUUUAUGUAGUUCACAAGAAUUUCAUUUCGCAUUUGAGUUGCUUCUAAAUUAUUAGCAAGAUUCCCAGUUUCUCAGUCAAUUAGUUCUGUGGUGGCAACUUUUUCCAGAAUACUGGCUCUAGGCCAGCACUUUUCUAAUUAUCAAACUAGCAAGACAGAUUGCCUUUUUAGUCGCUCAGCUUUACUUGAAGUUGUCGCUUUUAGCACAGUGGCUGGAAAUCUACUUUUUAGCAUACGCAGUUAUUAUUUAGCCUUCUGCUUCCAGUUCGUUUCCUUGAACACCUCUUCCCCCAACCAGUAAAAAGAUAUCUUUGAUCCGUAAUUCCUCAGUUUGAUUCAAACUUCAAGCUUGUGAUGCAAACAGUACUCAACCAGAAAUGAAUUUAGAUUACAUCUCUUAAAGUAUUUCAAAAACAAAAUAAGCACAUACAGUUAAUAAUAAUAUGGAUUUUUCAUUCUUAGCGUUACAAUAUGAGAUACAAGUUGCUUUGAAACAACAGGUAUUUGAUGGGCAUGGGGGAAAG